GACGAACGCUGGCGGCGUGCCUAAUACAUGCAAGUAGAACGCUGAAGGAGGAGCUUGCUUCUCCGGAUGAGUUGCGAACGGGUGAGUAACGCGUAGGUAACCUGCCUGGUAGCGGGGGAUAACUAUUGGAAACGAUAGCUAAUACCGCAUAACAGUAGAUGUUGCAUGACAUUUGCUUAAAAGGUGCAAUUGCAUCACUACCAGAUGGACCUGCGUUGUAUUAGCUAGUUGGUGAGGUAACGGCUCACCAAGGCGACGAUACAUAGCCGACCUGAGAGGGUGAUCGGCCACACUGGGACUGAGACACAGCCCAGACUCCUACGGGAGGCAGCAGUAGGGAAUCUUCGGCAAUGGACGGAAGUCUGACCGAGCAACGCCGCGUGAGUGAAGAAGGUUUUCGGAUCGUAAAGCUCUGUUGUAAGAGAAGAACGAGUGUGAGAGUGGAAAGUUCACACUGUGACGGUAUCUUACCAGAAAGGGACGGCUAACUACGUG
rnacentral:rRNA from 1 species